rnacentral:rRNA from 1 species
GGGGGGGGGGGGGGGGGGGGGGGGGGGGGGGGGGGCGGGGGGGGGGGGGCGGCGGUGGGGGGGUGCUCGAGUGGCGAACGGGUGAGUAACACGUGAGUAACCUGCCCUUGACUUUGGGAUAACUUCAGGAAACUGGGGCUAAUACCGGAUAGGAGCUCCUGCUGCAUGGUGGGGGUUGGAAGGUUUCGGCGGUUGGGGAUGGACUCGCGGCUUAUCAGCUUGUUGGUGGGGUAGUGGCUUACCAAGGCUUUGACGGGUAGCCGGCCUGAGAGGGUGACCGGCCACAUUGGGACUGAGAUACGGCCCAGACUCCUACGGGAGGCAGCAGUGGGGAAUAUUGCACAAUGGGCGGAAGCCUGAUGCAGCAACGCCGCGUGCGGGAUGACGGCCUUCGGGUUGUAAACCGCUUUCGCCUGUGACGAAGCGUGAGUGACGGUAAUGGGUAAAGAAGCACCGGCUAACUACGUG